UCCAGACUCCUACGGGAGGCAGCAGUGGGGAAUAUUGCACAAUGGGGGAAACCCUGAUGCAGCGACGCCGCGUGAGUGAAGAAGUAUUUCGGUAUGUAAAGCUCUAUCAGCAGGGAAGAAAAUGACGGUACCUGACUAAGAGGCCCCGGCUAACUACGUGCCAGCAGCCGCGGUAAUACGUAGGGGGCAAGCGUUAUCCGGAUUUACUGGGUGUAAAGGGAGCGUAGGUGGCAUGGUAAGCCAGAAGUGAAAACCCGGGGCUCAACCCCGCGGAUUGCUUUUGGAACUAUCAGGCUGGAGUGCUGGAGGGGUAAGCGGAAUUCCUAGUGUAGCGGUGAAAUGCGUAGAUAUUAGGAGGAACACCGGUGGCGAAGGCGGCUUACUGGACAGAAACUGACACUGAGGCUCGAAAGCGUGGGGAGCAAACAGGAUUAGAUACCCCCGUA
rnacentral:rRNA from 1 species